rnacentral:tRNA from 2 species
CAGGGGGUAUAUCAAUUUGGUAGAUUAUCCGCUUUGGGUGUGGUUGGUUGUGGGUUCAAGCCCCAUCUCCCUGA